UCAAUUUGACUAUGUUUUCAACUGGACUAUGCUGAAGUAUCCUCAGAUUGGUGCCAGUUCUAGGGCACGAAAUCCCAGUGGGAGUGCAGGGUUAAGUGCUGGACCUUCUGGUGAAAGACCAGGGAGAACAUCAGUGGGGCAAGAUAUUCGAGAUAGAUUCUCAGGUGCCGUUGAGGCUUUUUCCAGAAGACAUACUUCAAGUACAAUUCACAAACAUAGGACAUCACAAGAUGUAUGAUAGGCCCCCAUUAAAUAAAUAUAUUCUAAGAAGAUCAAGAAGAUUGGUGAAGAUUGCGGCUGCAACAAACUCGGUUGGAGGGGUAGAAUGCGAAGGGAAAAUCAGUUACAUGUAGCUUAUAAAUAGGGACGAGUUGGAGGA